rnacentral:rRNA from 1 species
AUGGACAAACCUCGUUCUGUUUGGUUUUGCAGUGUAAAGGAAAAAUCAAGAACAGAUCAGAUCGAGAUCUGCAGGAGGAGCUUGAUGGAGGAGGAAGAGAUUGAUCCAGAGAUGGGCCUUGUUGCUCCUCGUCGGCGGCUUCGGCGGUACAUCCUCAUCGGCGGCUGGCUGGCGUGGUCGUUCCCGGCGACUGGAUCAGGAGGAGAGGACCGAGGGGAGGCAGCGGCGCUGGACUCGAAGCGGGUCGAUCGAGAGGCGGCGGCGGCGCUGGACUUGAAGGGAGGCCGUGGCGGCAGCGGUGCACGCAGAUCGAGGGGAGAAAGGAGUCGUGGGGGAGGAGGGCUGGGGGGGAGGAGCGCUCGAGGGUGGGAAGGAAUCCUUUACCGAUGGGGGUUGGGGGGUAUCGACCGAUCACUGUCCCGGACCUGA